ACACGACUCUCGGCAACGGAUAUCUAGGCUCUCGCAUCGAUGAAGAACGUAGCAAAAUGCGAUACUUGGUGUGAAUUGCAGAAUCCCGUGAAUCAUCGAGUUUUUGAACGCAAGUUGCGCCCGAAGCCAUCCGGCCGAGGGCACGUCUGCCUGGGCGUCACGCAUCUCGUCGCCACCCCCUCCUCCCAGUCCUC
rnacentral:rRNA from 1 species